rnacentral:lncRNA from 1 species
AGGUGAUUAGGCGUGACAUGGCUAGAAUGCGGGUUUCCGAGGACAUGACCCUUGACAGGAAAGUCUGGAGGUCUAGUAACAGGGUUGUAGGAUAGGGGCUCGUAGAUUUGUUUUUUGUACCCCUCACCCGGGGUUGGGUGAGGCUUGGCAGGGCUAUCCAUAGAUGAUUUGCGUUUUGGAGUGUGUCUCCCUUAUGGUAGUUAUUUAUGGUAGUUACUGUAUGAUAUUAUUGCAUGCUAUUUUAUUUAUGGUUCUUAUGUUUAGAUAAUUAUUUACGCUAUUUCUA